rnacentral:rRNA from 1 species
CCUACGGGAGGCAGCAGUGAGGAAUAUUGGACAAGGGACGGAAGUCUGAACCAGCCAUGCCGCGUGCAGGAAGACGGCUCUAUGAGUUGUAAACUGCUUUUGUACAAGGGUAAACCUGAAUACGUGUAUUCAGCUGAAAGUACUGUACGAAUAAGGCUCGGAUAACUCCGUGCCAGCAGCCGCGGUAAUACGGAGGAGCAAAGCGUUAUCCGGAUUUAUUGGGUUUAAAGGGUGCGUAGGCGGAUUUCUAAGUUAGAGGUGAAAUGUCAGAGCUUAACUCGGGAACUGCCUCUGAUACUGGUGAUCUAGAGAGUAGAUGCGGUAGGCGGAAUGUGUGGUGUAGCGGUGAAAUGCUUAGAGAUCAUACAGAACACCGAUUGCGAAGGCAGCUUACCAAUCUAUAUCUGACGUUGAGGCACGAAAGCGUGGGGAGCAAACAGGAUUAGAUACCCUUGUAGUC